ACAAAAACCGUUGAGUUUUCUCCUUUCAUAUAGAAAGCAAUCAAUGAAGUAUAGAAAGAUAUAGAUAUAGAUAUAGAUUCAAUUCAACAUUCAACAAACAAACAAACAUCAACAUUUGUGCAUGGCGCGAACUCUUAGAAGCACAACCACCACAAAGAGCUCUGACAAAUCGGCAUUUGAAACCGCUCCGAAACCCUAGCCUGUCCAAUCAACAAUCUCUCGCAGAUCCAAUCGCCAUUUUCCAGCUUCACUCGCCAACUCACCACCACCGUCGCACGAUUCAUCUUCAACGUUCGUCGGAAACGAUCUAGUUUUCAUCAUUUAUCUGUUUUUUUUCAAAAAAUUGUGCGGUACAGUUGCGUUCGGCUUGAAAGAUUUGAAGUGAACGAGCUUUGAUUUUGAAAAUCUGAGGGGAUCUGUUAUGGCGUAAAUCGGUUGAUGUACUUUACUAAUUUUCAUCAGCUAUCUGUUGUUUCAACGAAUCCGUGUGGUGCGGUUGUGUUCGAUUUCAAUUUAUAGACGAUCGAUUUUAAGGAUUUGAAGUGAACGAGCUUUGAUUUUGAAAAUCUGAGGGUCAGGGAUCUGGUAUGGCUUGAAUUGGUUGAUGUACUCUCAUUUUCAUGGUGAAAAGAUUCCUCUUCAGAGUUCAGAUUGGGGACGUUCUGGAUUUGCGAGGGCACGGAUGAAGGAAUUUAUUGUUAUAGAGGUUCAAUUUUGAUGUUCAGAUGGCGGCUACGGAAAAAAUCACCGUAGGUUCUCAAGUAUGGGUGGCAGACCCAUCAGUGGCUUGGAUUGAUGGUGAAAUGUUGAAAAUAGAUGGAACGGAAGCCGAAAUCCGAACUUCUGAUGGGAAGAAAGUUGUUACAAAGCUCUCAAAAGUAUACCCGAAAGAAAUGGAUUAUCCUGAUGGUGGAGUUGAUGACAUGACGAAACUAUCGUAUUUGCAUGAGCCUGGAGUUUUGCAUAACCUAGCUAUCAGAUAUGAACGUGAUAAACUCUAUACUUAUACAGGCAAUAUCCUCAUCGCCGUUAACCCAUUUCAAAGUUUGCCUCAUUUGUAUGAUGCUCACAUGAUGGAAAAAUACAAAGGGGCAGAAUUUGGGGAUCUAAGUCCUCAUGUAUUUGCAAUUGCAGAAAUUGCUUUCAGGGAAAUGGUUAACGGAGGAAAAAGCAACUCAAUUCUGGUCAGUGGUGAAAGUGGUGCGGGUAAGACCGAAACUACUAAAAUGCUUAUGCGAUAUCUUGCACAUGUUGGUGGUCAUAAAGGUACCGAGGGACGGACAGUUGAACAACAAGUUUUAGAAUCAAAUCCAGUUCUGGAAGCAUUUGGCAAUGCAAAAACUGUUAGAAAUAACAAUUCCAGCCGUUUUGGAAAAUUUGUUGAGAUUCAGUUUGAUAAGCGUGGAAGAAUAUCUGGGGCGGCCAUCCGGACAUACCUUCUAGAAAGAUCUCGUGUUUGCCAAAUUUCUGAUCCUGAACGCAAUUAUCACUGUUUCUAUCUCCUUUGUGCAGCACCUCCUGAGGAAGUUAAGAAAUAUAAAUUGGGAGAUCCAACUUCUUUUCACUAUCUCAACCAGUCAAAUUGUUAUGAGCUUGUUGGUGUGAAUGAUGCUCAUGAUUAUCUUGCCACUAGGAGAGCCAUGGAUACUAUUGGAAUAAGCCAAAAGGAACAGGAUGCAAUUUUUAGAGUUGUGGCUUCAAUUCUACAUCUAGGUAAUCUUGAAUUUGCCAAAGGGGAAGAGAUUGAUUCAGCAAUUCUGAAAGACGAAAAAUCCAAAUUUCAUCUUCAGGUGACGGCCGAGUUGCUAAUGUGUGAUCUACAUGCACUUGAAGACUCAUUAUUGAAGCGUCUGAUGGUUACCCCAGAAGAAGUUAUCAAGAGAAGCCUUGAUCCCCAGGGUGCAACUUUCAGCAGGGAUAGUUUGGCUAAGACCUUGUAUUCUCGUCUGUUUGACUGGUUGGUGGAUAAGAUUAACGUGUCAAUUGGGCAAGAUUCAAAGUCAAAUUCUCUGAUUGGCGUGCUUGACAUAUAUGGCUUCGAAAGCUUCAAAACCAAUAGUUUUGAACAGUUUUGCAUUAAUUUUACUAAUGAAAAGCUGCAACAACACUUCAACCAGCAUGUUUUGAGGAUGCAGCAAGAGAUAUAUACCAAAGAGGAAAUUGACUGGAGCUACAUUGAGUUUGUAGACAACAAAGACAUCCUAGAUCUCAUUGAAAAGAAACCUGGUGGGAUCAUUGCUUUACUUGAUGAAGCAUGUAUGUUUCCCAAGUCAACUCCUGAUACAUUUUCACAGAAGCUUUAUCAGACAUUCCAAACUCACAGACGAUUUAUUAAACCAAAAUUGGCACGCUCGGAUUUUAUUAUUGCUCAUUAUGCUGGAGAGGUUCACUAUCAGUCUGAUCAAUUCCUAGACAAAAACAAAGAUUAUAUUGUUCCUGAACAUCAGGAUUUGUUGAGCGCUUCCAAGUGCUCUUUUGUUGCAGGGCUUUUUCCUCCACUGCACCAGGAUGCAACCAAGCAUUCCAAGUUCUCAUCAAUUGGUUCUCGCUUCAAGGUACAACUUCAACAGUUGAUGGAGACAUUGAAUUCUACACAACCCCACUAUAUAAGAUGUGUGAAGCCAAAUAAUCUUCUUAAACCUGCCGUUUUUGAGAAUGUCAAUGUCAUUCAUCAAUUACGUUAUGGGGGGGUUCUAGAAGCAAUUCGUAUCAGCUGUGCAGGAUACCCUACCAACAAGAAUUUCACUGAUUUUAUUAAUCGAUUUGGUCUUCUGGAUCCAGAGGUUUUGCGUCUGAAUAAAGACAAAAAGUAUAUAUGUAGAAAGAUUUUGGACACGGCAGGAAUCCGGGGAUAUCAGAUUGGAAAAACAAAAGUUUUUCUUAGAGCUGGUCACAUGGCUGCAUUAGAUGCACGGAGAGCGGAAAAGAUUACAGCUUCAGUCAUUGUUAUUCAGAGAAUGACAAGGAGUUAUCUCAUUAGAAAGCGUUUUCUUGCUAUGGCGAAUCUUGCUGUUGCUUUGCAAACUUUGUGCAGAGGAACGCUUGCUGCUAAGGUAUAUGAAGAUGCGAGAAAGAGAAUUGUCUCAACUAAAAUCCAAAGUAAUUUUCGGCGAUACACGUUGAGGUCAUCCUACAUCAGACUAGGGCAUGCAGUUGUACUCAUUCAGGCAGGCCUGAGAGCAAUGGCUGCUCGUUAUGAACUCAGAUACAGAAGGCGACACAAGGCAGCUACUACAUUACAAGCCAUAUGGCGUGGUCAUAGAGAUUAUACAAGCUAUAAGAAACUCAAAAAGGCAACUAUUGUCACACAAUGCGGUUGGAGGGGUAAAGUUGCAAGGAGAGAACUUCAGAGAUUAAAGAUGGCUGCAAGGGAUACUGGUGCACUCAAACAAGCGAACGCGAAGCUUGAAAUGCAAGUGAAAGAGCUGACACAACGUUUAGAGAUACAAAUACGCUUGAAGACUGAAUUGGAAGAAGCAUUGCAUGCCAAGGAACAUGAGGUUGUAACAAAAGGAUCUGAUAUAGAAAAGAUUGACAGUUUAACUGCAAAAGUGGAAAGCUUGUUGGCUUUAUUAGAAUCAGAGAGACAACGAGUUGAAGAAUAUGAGGAGAAGUACGCAGAAGCCCAGAAAACAAUUGCAAUUAUCAGGUCAGAAGAAACUGAAAGACAGGCUCUAUUAGAAUCAGAGAGACAAAGAGCUGACAAAUUUGAGAAAAAGUAUGUUGAAGCCCUGGAAACAAUAGAAAUGAUGAAGUUGGAAGUAACUGAAAGAAAGAUCGAAUUGGAAGAUGGAUUGCUUACUAAGGAAAACAAGUCUGCUUCAGAAGUAUCUGAUGAAGCACUGUCUUUUUCAGAAACUGAAAAGAUCGACAAGCUGGCUUCAGAACUGGAAAAGCUCAAGGCCUUAUUAGAAUCAGAGAGGCAACGGGCUAAAGGAUUUCAAAAGAAAUUCUCUGAAGCAUUAGAAACAAUUGAAAUUAUGCAUGCAAAGUUGGAAGAAACAGAAAGAAGGGUACUUCAUCUUCAACGAACAGACAGAAGGACUGAAUUGAAUGAAGCAAUGCUUGCCAAGGAAACCGAGUCUGCAAAGGAAGCAUCUGAUAGAGGUCUAUCUGUUGUGAAAGAUUCAGAUGACCCUGUAAGGAUUGAAAAUUUAACAGCAGAGGUGGAAAAGAUUAAGGUGUUAUUAGAAUCAGAAAGACAAAGAGCAGAUGAAUCUGAAAUAAAGUAUGCUAAAGCUUUGGAAUCAAUUAAUAUUAUGCGUCUAAAGUUGGAAGAAACUGAAAGAAAGGCUGAUCUGGAAGACCAAGUUCUUGGCAAGGAAAACGGUCAUCCAAUGGAAGCAUCUUAUGAAGCACUGUCUAUUGGGAAAAAAACUACAGUUUCUGUGGAUGAUAGUGAAAAUAUCCAAAAAUUAAAUGCACAAGUGGAAAAAUUGACGGCUUUAGUAGAAUCAGAGAGACAAAGAGCUGAUGAAUGUGAGAAAAAGUACACUGAAGCCCUGGAGUCAAAUGUAAUUAAGCGUCAAAAGUUUGAAGAAACCGAAAGAAGAGUACUUCAACUUCAGGAUGCGCUGAACAGAAUGAUAUACAGCAUGUCAGACCAGUUUUCAGAGUUAAAAAGUAUGUUAUGUGCGUCAUCCAGUUCGAGUGUAGCUUCAGGAUUCGUUAUGAGAGACGGUUUUGGAGAUGCUACAUCUACCUCUUCUGAUAUUACGUCAAAUGAUUCUGAUUUCACUUUCCCACCUCCAAAUUCCACUGCUCCAGAUACAGUUUCUCCUCAAACGACAGUUCAUGCUCAUUCUGUGCCUGAAAAACAAUCAGGAUCUGGAAACUGGGAAAGUGACAGAGAGGGGGCCUUUGAUGACGUUUUCUGAUGGAACUUGCCUGGUUAAGAUUGUUCUCUCAUUUUUUUUCUUACGAAAACGAUAUUCUUUGACCUAAAAAACCUCUUCUGGCCUCUUUGUCUGCGCCGCGCAGACCACGCGCAGACGUUUAGCUCUGCAGACCGUUUGUUUUUUAGAAGACAUUUCAUUAAAAAAUGUCUUCAAACCUCUGCGCGUCCUCUUCCCCACGCAGACAUGGUCCAAUGUCUUCCCACCUUUUCCAACCCUUCUAACCUCUUCUUCUUUCCUAAUCUCAAAACACGACAUCUCUUAUCAAAACCCUAGCACCUCUCCUCCACCCCUCUCCUACUCCCAGCCGUCACCUGCACCUCCUCCGCCACCACCUCCACCUCCUCCGACAACCACCUGCUCCCUCGUCGCCCAGCCGACACCUCCACCUCCUCCGCCACCACCACCACAUCUCCGUCACUUCCACUUCCUCCGUCACUCCCACACAACAACCACCUCCUUCUCCACCCCAGCUGCAGCCGCCGGCCUCCCCCAUCCACCCCAGCUGCAGUCGCCGGCGUCGGUUGUUGGGUUCCGGUCUCAGUGAUGGGUAUUGCAGAUCCAGGGGCGGGAAACAAUGAGAUCGCUGCAAUUCCUGUACCUUGGAGCAGCAUGAGGAAUGAAAAUAACAGGUUUUGGAUAUGUGUGCUUGUCGCAAUUCCUUUUUGUGUACUUCAUGUUUUAUUACACUUAAUAGAGUUCAAUCAGGAUGACCUUUUUGUAUAUAAUAUAUGCCACCAUAUGAUCAAGCAUUCUUGUAUGUACCACUUGGCAAGAAGCAGCAGGUGCAAAAGUUGCAGAGCUAAAGAGUUGAGAACGGGAAAGAAAAUACCGGAAUGAUAUGCUCACCAUGUUAAUCUGGUGUUGCUGGCAUAAUUAUAUGUAAGGUCUACUACCAAUCUGGGCUACAAGAUUUUGUAUAUAAUAUAGAAAAUACCAUUGUUUGUUAGAAUAAUAGUUAUGUUUCAUUUGGAUCU